rnacentral:lncRNA from 1 species
UGGUUGAUUUCAACCUGUCAUUGACAGGUCAGGUUCCUUUAACAUUUAGGACUCCUCCUGUCAGUCCUCCUCGACCAAGUUACUUGACAGGAAUGAGGAGAGUUUGUUCUUUAGAGUUCACGCCUCACCUGAUAAAUUCUCCAGAUUCAGGAUUAGCUAAUCCACUUUUACGCUCAGGGGCUCUGUGGUUUCAGGACGCAGUUUGCUUCCACAAUCAACUAUUUACAAUUNNNNNNNNNNNNNNNNNNNNNNNNNNNNNNNNNNNNNNNNNNNNNNNNNNNNNNNNNNNNNNNNNNNNNNNNNNNNNNNNNNNNNNNNNNNNNNNNNNNNNNNNNNNNNNNNNNNNNNNNNNNNNNNNNNNNNNNNNNNNNNNNNNNNNNNNNNNNNNNNNNNNNNNNNUUGAAGCUUGUUAGGAUGUUGUCAACAAAGUGUGGUUCCUUGAUUUGAUCAUGUCCUUUUGUUUGUUUGAGAGUGCACUGCAACUGUUUUUGAAUUUUGUUUAAACCCAUGCCAAAUGAGAUUGGGUCAUCGUAAUAACUCAACUUUUUGGUUGGUGGUUGGAUCUUGUUUCUAUUCUUUAAUGUUUCUAUAUUCGUUUUCUGUAGUUUUUGCCAUCCUAGUAAAACAAGGUGUUACAGCAGUAUAGCUAAAAAUCUUUUUCUCCUUAAAUUUUCCUUGCAGGUUCCUUUUUUUUUUCUUUUUCUUUUUUUAAAAAGAGUAUUUCUCUUGUCUUUGCAUAGUAUCUCUCCCAAAGUCCUUGUGUUUUAGAAUUAAAAUUACUAUUGUUAAAGAAUGUAUUUGAAGCACUAGUACCUAAACCACCUGGGUUGUAAUUUUAAAAAAUAGCAGUUGUCUGGUUGGAUAGAAGCAGUUUUUUGUAAAAAGAAAAAAGCACUGUACUUACUAUAUUUUAAUAGAAAGAAUUACUGGGUUAACAGGUAAUAACAUGUUAAGAAAUAGGCCUUAAGUCAUUAGAGAAGAAGUAACGGUUGAGUUUUUUACUUUUCUCGUAUUAAAAUAUGCAUAACCAUCGGCUUAUUUCUUCCAAAGACCACCUAUUUAUCAAUAAUCCUAAAUUUACUAACGGCUUCUUAAAAUAGUAAAUUUGCGAAAGAGGUAAAUUAGGAUUGGGUACUGAUAUGUAGGUCUUGGGUAAUUCUAAACACCCUCUAAGACUAAUGGAAUGUUGUUAGUAUGAGCAUUUUUUAUUUUUUGUUUACACACCUAGCAAGCUUGAUAAUUGAAGCAGUAUGUUGAUUGAUCACUGUAAUUACAAAAUCAUUCUUUGGCUUCACAUACGCAAGUGAUUUCUUGGUGAUUGUUACUUGGGUUGUCUGCUUGCUUGACUAUUAAUCAUUUAGCACUCGUAAUUACAAAAUCAUUCUUUGGCUUCACAUAUGCAAGUGAUUUCUUGGUGAUUGUUACUUGGGUUGUCUGUUUGCUUGACUAUUAAUCAUUUAGCACUUCUUUCUUUUCAGGGUGUGGAAUUAUGAGGAGGCUACCCUUCUCAAUGGUUUUGAGAAUCAUGAUUUUCCUGACAAAGGAAUUUCUAAGCUCUGCCUUGUCAACGAGCUUGAUGACAGCUUGCUACUUGUAGCUUCAAGUAAUACUUUCAAUUUCUUUUGCUAAAAGUUAUUUGGCUAUUUGCUAGAAUUUUAGAGAUUCUUUGUGAAUUGAGCUGAAAAUAUUAUCUUUCAUGUAGGUGAUGGAAAUAUUCGUAUUUGGAAAGAUUACACCGUGAAGGGUAAACAAAAGCUUGUUACUGCAUUUUCUUCUAUUCAAGGCCAUAAACCUGGUGUAAGAAGCGUGAACGCUGUGGUGGACUGGCAACAGUUAUCUGGAUAUCUGGUAGAUAUUUUACGAACGUAAUUUUGUGGAUUAAUUUUUUUGCCAAUAGGUAAUGUUGAAAGUGCUGUAAUAUGUUCUUGAAUGUUACAUUAUUAGUACACUUCUGGAGAGGUAUCAACUAUCAUGGUCUGGGACCUGGAGAAAGAGCAACUUUUUAGUUCUUUUUCAUCAUCAUCAGAUUGCAGCAUUACAGCAUUGGUGAGUUUAUUGUUUGUAUAUCUUUUCUUUACUGGGAAAUUCUAUUAUACUGCUUGAAUACCUGUUAUCUAGUUAACCUGUCUCAGACAACAGCUUUUUGUUUUCUCUCCCUUCUGUGGGAGAAAUUUAAAAAAGAAAUGUGAAGAGGACCAAGAGGUUGUCACCCAAAGACAAACAAGGUAAACCUGUCUCAAACAACAACUUUUUUCUUUUCUUUCUCCCUUUUGUGGGAGAAAUUUAAAAAAGUUAAUUGAAGAGGACCAAGAGGUUGUCACCCNNNNNNNNNNNNNNNNNNNNNNNNNNNNNNNNNNNNNNNNNNNNNNNNNNNNNNNNNNNNNNNNNNNNNNNNNNNNNNNNNNNNNNNNNNNNNNNNNNNNNNNNNNNNNNNNNNNNNNNNNNNNNNNNNNNNNNNNNNNNNNNNNNNNNNNNNNNNNNNNNNNNNNNNNNNNNNNNNNNNNNNNNACUAUACUAUUUAGGAGAUUAAUAUUAUAGUUCUAGUAAUAUUAAGAUUUUAUUCUUUUUAAUAUUUAACUUUUUAUUUUUAUUAGUAUUUCCUAUCUUAUUAGGAAGAAAAUUCCUAUUUUUAUUAGUUUUAGCAUUCCCUAGGCCAAUCCUGUUUGAGAAAAUAUUUACUUUCGAAACCAUAAUUCAGUUGCUCAAUAAAAUAUUUUGUGGAUUUCUUAAUAAAAUUAAGCUGUUGAAUGUGAUGCUUGAAAGAUGCAAUGUCUUGGAAAUCCUAGGUGUGAUAUCCAGGUUUUUCCUCCCAAAUUUCUAGGUAGCGAAACUAACCCUAAUUUUUUGUACAUCAAUUUGGCACUGGAGUUAAAAGAAUAUGACACCCUAAAAUCUCAAAAUCUUAAACUCAAACAGUCUCGAUCCCUUUUGAAAAAAAAAUGGGAUAUACCAGAAUCUGAAAACCACCCCUUAUCAUCAACUGCCAACACUGCCCCUACCACCGGUCUUCUAAGACCCAUAUUGGCAGGGAGACAAAGGUCUGCGUCAGAACUCUGCUGGAAAGUGUGCCACUUGCAGCCCCACUUUUGCUCAUUGUUGCUUCUUUCAUUCUUCAACUUUCUCGCAGCUAUAUCUCACACUGCUAUCCGAUUUCCGCCACCAUCUCAAGCCAAGUCACCUUCCAGAAUCCUGACGCCUUCUGGUGACUUGAAAUUGCACGAGAGCCCAACAUGCACGUGAUCCGUAAGUAGUAGUUAUAAAUUUGUGCUGCAAUUGACUUUUUUAACUAAUUUUAAUGAAAUCUGAUCAUCCAGACUGGUUUAGCCUCUUCCAGUCUUGUUUUAGCAAAGAGGUUCAUAACAAUUCCCCUUAAUUGUUGUUAGCUCUUCUUAUUUUUGCAGUCUUCACAAAAGUUGCAUUCUAGCUUUAUAAAAAAUUUCAAACUCGUGGAAUUGUAAGGAAGAGAAUGAAUCAUCAUUUUUGGAGGAUAGAAUAGACAAAUCUUUCUUACCUAUAGCCAAGGGCAACUAUUAAUUAAAGUAAAGGAAGAUUGGAAGAAUUCUCCAUUUUUUCAAACCCUAGCAGUUGUGAAAAUAAAACCAAGAAAUUUUUUUUUUUGAAUUUAGUUUUUUAAUAGGAAAAGGCCUCCACCUUAUCAUUCUUAAGGAUUGUUACGAGGAUCUUGUUUCAAUUUCUACAGUUGAAUGAUUCAGUCUUUCAAAGCAGCCGUAUUUGCAGUCAUAGAGAUUAGUUUGGAAGGAUAAGACAAGUAUUUGGUAACUUAACAAAGUGUUACUUCUAUUUGUCAUAGUACGUCAUUUAAUCUUGUGUGAUUUAGUCCGUAUAAUGGUCGCUUAUCUCAAAAAAGAAAAGUCUGUCUAAGGGUCAUAUAUAUCCUUCUUGGUCAACCUUUGUUUUAUGAUUGACAUAUUCAAACUUAUGAGACUGUCGAUACUUACCAUUUUAUCUUUUACAUAAAGAAUCUAGUCAGUGGAAAAUAUGGGAGGAGCCCAUUAAAGUUGAGAAAGAAGAAUCAUCCUUUUUUUUCCCUAAGAGUGGAGAUGUUCUUAGCUGCUCAGGACCUUUCACUUCCUAAAUUGAGUUCUAUGGAAGUUUAAUGCAAAGAGGAAACUGAGCCAGUGAUUGGGUCUAGUAAUGUUCAACUAAAGGAUGAAGUUGAAGAGCAAAUUGGUCAAUAUGUUGAUAUCAUUCUACCAUCACAAUUUUAUACUCCUAAUCAAUUACAUGCUUUCCUUAUGUUUGCUAUCGAAGAGAGUAACUGAGCACAAAGUUCAUUAAAUUUUGACUGGGAAGCUUGAAAAUCAAGGUUUUGCAAUAUUCUGCACUUUGAAACUCUGUUGUUGCCACUUGAAAAUCAAUUAGAAUCAUAAUUCUGUUUAAAUAUAAAACUACUAUACUGUCUAAGAGUCUAUUACUAUAAUUUGAGAUUUUAUUUUUGUAGUAUUUAGUUUAACUAUUUGUAUUAGCAUUUCCUAUCUUAUCAGGAGUAGUAUUCCUAAUCUUAUUAGUUUAAGUAUUUCCUACUCUAGUGUUCACACUUUUUAUUUCAAAAAAACUAUUUCCUACUGUAGUCCUAUUUGAAAAAGACUGAUGUCACUCAGCAAAUACCUCCCUAAUUUCCUUGAUAUCAUCAUUCAAUUAUUGAAUAAAAUACUUUUGAGAAUUUCUCAACUUCUUGGUUGUGGGAUACAAUUAAGCCCUUAAAUGGCCCCUAAUUUAUCCCCAAAUUCCUAAGUAGGCAAAUGGCCCCUAAUUUAUCCUACAUUACUUAUGUUUCUUUCCUCCCAAUUGAUCUGGAAGUAGCUUCUUCCUCUUAUGCCUUGAGAUACCUUGCCAAGCCCAAAACUCAUCAAAAACAGAAUCAGCUAGCAUGCGUUGCACCUUUGAGAAAGUCCAAAACCAUAUACUCCAAAGAAUAGAGGAAAGAGCAUCGCAGAAGAAGAUGACAUGAGGUCUCAUAUGCAAUCUUACUCACAACUAAGAGCCAUUCUUUGUUAUUUUUCCUUUUGUGAUGAAAUUUUCUAAUUUUUUGUUUUUUAGAUUUAUAUUUAUCUCAUUUACAAUACCAUAUUAUUUAGCUAAUAACAAAAUGAAUGAUGGUGAAAAUUGAUAGUAGAAUUAGAAAAGUUUAAGACAUUGUUUCUACUGUUCCAUAGAAAAACAUUUUUUGUUGUGUUUUGAUUAUUUAACAAACUUGGAAAUCUUGCAAACUUUCAUGAGUAAAAUCAUUCAUAAGCACUUGAAUUUAGAAAUGAAAAUUAGUAAAUAUUUUGUAUAAAAUAUUUCCUAGCAUCUUUCAACCAAUUAUAAGCAACAUAGACAGUCCUCGGUUCCAUUCUGUCAACCAAAUUGGCACUAUUCCCAUGAGAAUCAAGACUAUGAAAGAACCUUGUACCCUAUCCUUUAAUCCAUAGCACUUCCAAUUUCUGCCAUCAAGCGAAAUCCUCAGAGAGGGGGAAACUAGGGAAGCUCUAUAUUAAUCUUUGCCAUCUCCUCUCUCUUCCCACUGGAAAGACGCUUCUCAAUCUCCACCUUAUAUGACUCUUCUAACAAGCAAACAAGAGUUUCCUUCUUUAUGUCAGGGACGACAAAAUUCUCUUUGCUCCAUUGUUUAAUAUUCCUCUUCACAUGAAAGACUUGGCCACCACCAAAUCCAUCAACUUGUGGCUCUCUUCACCAUUAUCUAAAAAGAUCCCCAAAAGGCCGGACCUUUAACUACUUGUUCUAAGAACUGAAGGGACAUGGACUCCAUUUACUGCCACCCAAUUUCAAGCAUAACAGGAAGUGAUUAAAAGUUUUUAUGGGCUACAGCAUCUGUAUCAAAUCUGGAACUUGCAGAUCAAAUGGGGAAGAAAUAGAAAAUCUCCUGAUCUGGGCUCAUUAGAUCAAGCCCGACUCCCUUCAAAUAAGGGAAGGUCAACAAGAUUGCAGUGAUCAAGCAACUUCCUAAACUCUCCGCAUGAGCUUUGUUAUGUGAACCUUGAUCGCUUGUCGCUGUUGUUGGCAUGUGGAGCUAUGUUGAAGACCCCAAACACCCAAGAGAAUCCCAUAUUCUAGCAACUUUAAGUCACUCCGAAAAAAAUGUCUUUUCUCGCUGCUCUCCCUUUCCCCUUAAACCCUUGUAAACAAGAAGCAUUAGCCUGAUGCUGUAAUCCUUAAAGACAAAAAAUUGAGGACACACCCUUCUCCACCAUUUCCAUAAUCCAAUUGUCCUGCAUCGCCGAGAUAUCCCUCAUAAGUUUUCUUAGCCAGUAAGAUGCACCGGCCAAUGUGCCUAGCUUUUCACAAACCAUUUGCUGUUUGUCUAUAUGCACUAUCAUGGACUCUCAAAGGCUCACAGCAUUCAGUUUCCAAGAAGAAAAGCAGCUUUUGAUGAUUGCCCUCUUGCUCAUGUUAUUCAUGUUUCUCACGUUCGAUGAGAUUAACAAACAGUCUGAAUACAGUGCGCCUCUAUCUCCUUUACCAGCCUUGUAACUAAUAGAGCAGCUUUUGAUUAGCGAGCUCUUGCUCAUUGUAAAGGAGAUUUGCUGCCUUACCAGCCUUGAGGUGAUUGAUCAUGGGCGUAGUAGUAAUUUACUUAGGUUACUUUCAUGUUUCUUAGUAUAUAUAUGUUUUGUUUUUCUAAUCUUAUUAGGAUAAGUUUCCUAUUUCGUUAAGGAUGAGUAUCACCCUGUAAAUUCUUUUAUAACCUCUUUAAGAUUAUUAUUCAAUUAUUCAAUUAUUCAAUGACAUAUUGAGAUUUUCUAGAUUUCUUUUCUCUUAGGUGUGAUAUUGAAGAGCUCUAAGGUUUUUCAUUCUCAAAUCCCUAAUUGGACAUAUAAACUCUAUAUGCCUUACGUCAUGCUGCCCUCUUAUAAUAGAAGCAUUGUUCGAACGACUGCUCUGGUCACAAUGCACCGCUCAGUUGAUGUUAAUGUAGGUAGUUAAAAUAUGGGCCUGUGUAUUGAACGUACAUAAUUUUCUAUUGGCUCCCUACAAGAUUUUGUAGGUGCCCAAAAGCAGAGAAGAAUAGACUAGGAAGUACAAGAUCUGCAUUGGAGUUAUGUGGAUGACGGAUGUAUUUCUGCUGCUUAGGGUAUAUUUAAAGCAUCUCCAAUCAUCUUCUUUGUGUAUAGUCCCCUAGUUUUGUAGAUGUGAGAAAGGAAUGAAUUAUUUGAAGAAUAGUUUCAUCUUCCACUCUAAAGUCUCUCUUUCUUUUUAUUUCUCUCUCAGAUCCCUCUGUUUCUCCUCUCUCUCUCGAUCGAUAUAUAUAUAUAUAUAUAUAUCUAUCUAAAACCUGAAACACAUUCCUCCAGAUUGGAGCCAUGCACCCCAGAUUCUGACUGAUUUUUACAUUGACUAAAGAGGAGACAAAAUAGUGCAUUCUAGUGUGUACAGGGAAGGAGUGUGUGUUUGGGUGUUCUGACUAGAACAAAAUCCUUAUAUUCCACUGCUGUUGAGGAAAGGAGAAGCAAAUAGCAUAUUGAACUUUUUUAGUGUGCGUUGGUGGGGAGAGUAGUUGGGGAGUGGGGAAACUUGACUUGUGCUUUCAUUUCCUUGACAUCAACUCAAAUUAGCAUGCUCUAAAUUGUGCUCUUAAGCCAUCCUGGAGUUAUCGCAAUCCUCUGUAGGAACUAGAUGAAUUUCGGGUCAGAUUCAAACUUCUGACCUUGUGGAUAAGUUUACAGGUGGUUGAAAAUUCAUUAACUGGACAAGCAAAUUUCCUUGUCUGAAUGACUGUUUUCCCACUCUGCAGUUGGGGGCCGCAUUUCUAUCAAUGUCGGGUCAGAUUCAAACUUCUGACCUUGUGAAUAAGUUUACAGGUGGUUGAAAAUUCAUUAACUGGACAAGCAAAUUUCCUUGUCUGAAUGACUGUUUUCCCACUCUGCAGUUGGGGGCCGCAUUUCUAUCUGUGAUAUGAAUUUCAUGUAACUAUUUUCACCUCAUUUUUUAUAAUGCAUGUUAUAGUGCACGCACCCAUAUUAUUAUUCACAUGGCUAAUACAUCGAUUUUCUUGUUGGCUAUAUCACAUGCUGAAUAGUCUGCUUCUCAAGUCCAUAGAGGUGCACUUGCUGCUGGAUUUGCUGAUGGUUCUGUUAGGCUCUAUGAUGUUCGAAAGCCUGAAAUGUAAGUACUGAUGAUCCUACGUUCUUUCAAAGGGUUGAUUCUUUUUCUUUCCUUUUUUUGGUUUUUUUGUUUGGGAUGGGGGGUUGUGCAUUUGGGGGAGGGACAGGGGUUUGUGUACUGUUGACACCAGCAGGGAAAAAAUUGCAUGGUAAUCCAUUUUAUUCUUUGCCCAACUUUUGUUCAACAAAGGCAGCUGAAGAAAAUUUAAUAAACAAAACAAAGACAUCUCCAAAAAAUUUUGGGACUUCUAUUUUCUCUUCAUUUAAUUGAGAACCCUUCCACUUGAAUAAUAACGAAUUUGCAGCUGCUGUGUUUUUUCUAGAUCUCUUUCUUUUUGUAAUCAUGUUUCAUAAUUUUUUUUGUAGUACUUAUAUAUCUCAGUACAUGUGUAAUCUUUUAGGCUUAUUUGCUCGACUCAGCCUCAUACUCAGAAUGUAAAAAGAGUAAUGGGGAUUGGCUUUCAACCCGGACUUGAUCCUGGAAAGGUAGUUGGCAAAGUGACUCUUUUCCUCACUUUAAGAUAAUGAUCUGUUCUCUCUGCUGGAUCAAUUUUGAUUUUCUCAACCUGUCUUUUUCUGUCAGAUUGUUAGUGCUUCUCAAGCUGGUGACAUUCAGUUCCUUGAUAUCAGAAAUCUCAGGGAUGCUUACCUGACAAUAGAUGCUCACAGGGGCUCACUUACAGCUUUAGCUAUUCAUAGGCAUGCCCCAAUCAUUGCUAGUGGUUCAGCGAAACAGUUGAUUAAGGUCUUCAGUCUGGAGGGUGAACAGCUAGGAACCAUUCGUUACUACCCUAGCUUCAUGGCCCAGAAGAUUGGUUCUGUGAGCUGUCUUACAUUCCAUCCCUACCAAAUACUACUUGCUGCUGGUGCUGCAGAUGCUUGUGUCUCCAUAUAUGCUGAUGACAAUGCUCAAGUGAGAUGAAUUUGCAGUGUUUUCUGGUAUCUUUUCGUUGAGUCUUUCAAGCAGCAGAAGUACACAGAAUUUGAUGGGGGAGAAGGGAUUUGGAUCAUCGAAUGGGAAACAUUCUGCUGCUCCAAACCCCUGUGUUCUCAGUCUUUCUGGAUAGAGUUGCCUGCUACAUUCUGCUGAAAAUUGUAUGGUAUAUAUUCAUUAGCCUCCAGUGCUGACGACGCACAGGUUAAAAAAAAAAAAAACCUGCAUUGGGUAAAAGGGGGGGGCUUUGGCAAAUAAAUUUGUUAUAUAGGUAAAUGCGUGUAAAUAGUUGCGUAGUCUUUGGUUUCUCCUUUUGGCGUGUUAAUUGUUUCUUCUAUUCCCUUGCUCAAUUUGUAAAAGUAGCACCUGUCACAAUCCAAAUCAAGUGUUAGCUAUUUGAUGGUGCAAUUGGUAAUUCCCCUGAAAUUGGGGGGCCCUUCAACUAACCCAUCUGUUUAACCUUAACAUGAUCCUGAAUUCUUAAUUUUCGAGCAAAACAGUCAACCUUCAUGCAAGGCUUGAGGCUUGAAGUAUGUGAAAUCAAAUUAUACAUCAAAUUAGCAUGAUCUCAAGUGAGUGAUUUACUUAUUCGGAAUUGAAUCUCAUUCCUUAUUAGGGAUAGUUAAAAGAACUUGCAAAUAUGCGUCUACUCAAUGUUUCUCAGAGAUUUAAUCCCAACCUCUCACUUUUCAUGAUUAUACCAAUAAUAAAAUGAUGCAGCCAGUUUGUGAUCUUAAAUGUUCACAAGUCAGACAUAAAUAAGCAAAAUAGCUGAGCUGAUCCACAAUUGUUAUGACCCGCUGCACCAUUUUUAUCGAACACUUGAGACAACAUAAUGAAGGUGAAGCAAAUUGCUAAAAUGAAACUGAAAAAUAGUGCUUUCUUGAGAAGGAAAAUGCAGAGUAACAACAGUAGCAACUUCGAGUUGGAUAACAAGCAGCAGUCAGUCAUGCAUCAACCCCCCUUCUAUUUGCCUCUUUCCAACUAUCAUUUACCUAGAUAAAUAGCGCCGUCCAAGGGCAGCAUUCCGUGGAGAUGGAUCUUAGGCUAAGGAACACCUGGCCAGAACACACUCUGUAUAAAUUGCAUUAUCCCUUGGUCUUGGGCCUUGAAGGAUUAACUCCAUUGCUGACACUAUCAUUCAUUACCCCAGAAUCAGAAAACUGGGACGAAUCAUUAGAUACAGGAUAGCCAGGCAUGAUUCCGGAAGUAGCAAGUGGACGGCUCGUUGAGGACGUUACUUCUGCUUGGUAAUCAUCUCCAACUCUCGUUAAUUGGGUAAGAAACAAUACUUCUGCUUCCUGUACAUUUUAUAUUAGCCAAUGAAGGCAACGAAUUCAGCAAAUAGUUACUGAUCUAUUGUAUUUUGAUUACAUUGUUAGUAUCUUUUUUCACUUAAAUUUAGAAGAAUUUUUGAAUAAUUUUGAGUUAAAAAUAAAUUAAUAAGUACGUUAAUGAAGAAAAGAGGGAAAAAGGCUGAAAAGAAGUUUUCUCCCAGGUCCAGAUCUGUAUCACGUUCAGCCCAGCACCAACACUUAAAACGACGCCGUUUUAGGAGCUGGAAACCAUAAGCCAGCAAUGAUCAAACGGCGCCGUUUUGAUGAAUGAAAAAAACAGAAAGAGGCGUCUACGUCUCUGAAGAAGAAACGAGGACUGAAAGGGAGAGGAGAAGCCUCAAGAGGAAGAGGCGGGCGAAAAUUUGGGGCGGCCGCCUACAAGAGGGGAGAUCUGGAGGAAAAAGGAGGAGACAGAGAGAGACAGGAGCUAGAAAGAGAAAGCAGAAAUCAGAUCUGCAUACCCUGGAGCGCGAGCAGAAGGAGAGAACGGGGAGCUUGGCGGAUAUUUAGAAACGAACUGGUGGAGCGAGUGGUAGCGAAGCAGAAGCUGAGAGUGACCCAAAGCGAUCUGGUGGAAGGCAGACUGGAGCAAACCGAUUGACGAUGGGGAAGCUGAAGCUGAAGUAGAAGCAAUCGCAGAGAGCUUAGAGGGAGAAACUGGGAAAAAUAUUCAAGUAAAUUAAAAUAUUUAGUUUUUAAUUUGCAUAGUUUUGUGAUAAAAGUUUCAGGAAUUUUUAUGGCAUUUGAGGGCUAGUAUUUGGAAUUGUUGGGAAUUUAUUUCUUGAAUAUUACAUGAUUAUUUUUCUCUCAAAUAUAAUUAUUGUUUCUGAAGUUACGUUUUGGGAUUAAUUUUUAGCUUUUUAGCAAUUUAAACUUAAUGCGGUUGUGAGAAUUGAUCAACAGCUUAAUUUGUGGAGUGAAAUUGUAUUAAUUAAACAUAUAUUGUUAAUUAUUAAUUGAGACUUUAAUGAAAGUAAUAUAGUUAAGUUAACGUGAAAAAAUCGAAUUAUUACAGCUUUAAUUGAAUCAAAUUAAUAAUUAUUAUAAAAGGUUAGUAAUGGUUAAUUAAUAGACUUUAGGAAUUCUGUGAGGGAAAUCGAAAUUUCAUUAUGAUAAUUCGACAAUCGCAUACUAAAUUAAAUGAUUGCGAAACUAAAACUCGAAUGUAUACAAGAUUUAGGUGAAAUUAAUUAUUCUGGUACGUUUCCAUUAAUAGUUUGUUUUUAAUUUUUUUACUUUGAUUAAGUUGUUUUAAUUUUUUAUAAAAAUUUAAUUUUGAUUUUUAGAUAAUAAUAGAAUUUUUUACAAUUUUGGUACUUAAUAUGCAAUUCAUGUGGAAUGAUAUUUUACUUAUCAUUUCAUUACUUAAAUGAUUUCGUACACUUGCGAAUCAGUUAUAAUGAACACCUACAACAAAUUCCUCAUUUUCCAAAACGCUAAAGAGGGAAAGAAAUUAUGCAUUCAUAAAGAGGAAAGAAUAUAAUGUUAAGGAGAAAAAAAUGCAAGCUUUGAUCCAAACAAAAAGGAAUUUAAAUGAUAGAACAAAAUAUACAAUAGAUUGUGGGCCAGUGUGUUUCAAAAUAUCCAAUUCAAAAAUUUUCACCCAAUGGUAUCAUCUGAUAUGAAACCAUUUACCUACUGCAUGAAAAGAUAAUGUGGUGAAUUUAUAUGGUGCCUAUGGUUUUCAUCUUUUGCUUCAUGUUACUUCUGAUGUUCUCGUUGUCUUUUCAGCCUGUUUAGAUAUAAAUCUGAUUGAUUUCAACCUGUCAUUGACAGGUCAGGUUCCUUUAACAUUUAGGACUCCUCAUGUCAGUCCUCCUCGACCAAGUUACUUAACCGGAAGGAGGAGAGUUUGUUCUUUAUAGUUCAGGUCUCACCUGAUGAAUUCUCCAGAUUCAGGAUUAGCUGAUCCACUUUUAGGCUCAGGGGGCUCUGUGGCUUCAGGAUGCAGUUUGCUUCCACAAUCAACUAUUUACAAUUGGAGUUGUGGCCACUUUUCUAAGCCACUUCUCACUGCAGCAGAUGACAGUGAAGAAAUAAUAGCCAG